ensembl:lncRNA
GGAGACAAGACCAGGUCAGCCCUGGAAGCGCAGGUGAAGGUAGUUCACAUCUUAGACCUCAUUUAAGGGCUGACUGACACUGAGAAAGGGUCUUUUGCUGGAGAUCCCUCUUCUGUGGAGUUUUUUCUGCAAGCCUAGAUCUUCAGAAAUGGUAUUGUGUUACUGUUGAUGUACCUCAAUGAAACGGAGAGAAAAUUCAAGAAAUAUGAAUUGAUUGUAUGAAGCAACAUAUGCAAAUACUGAAAAUAAAAGCUGCCAACAUUGUGACAGGAAUGGCAUUAGCAGAUGAGUCAGGAGUGUGAUGAAGCCAUAUGGCCUUGUGAUUAUGUUGAAACUAAGGAUAGCUACUCAAGGGAUUACAUGCUCUUCUACUUCUGAGAAUGAAGAAUGUGCACUGUGAGCACUUUAGUGUCCUGGUCAGCUACAUCACCCUUUGCAGCAUCUGUGAAAAUCAAGGAAAGGUUCAAUACUUUCCUCAUGAGGAUAAAUCAUGUAAGAACCAGAAAGAGCACAGCAGGUUGAUUGAAUGUGAAAAGUGCAUAUUGACAGGAUGCCAUUGACCUCACUGUCCACCCGGGCUCAUGUUCAGCCAAGUGUUGACCAACGCCUCCAGGACCCCAAAUCAGACACAAGCUGGUUUUAUUAUCUAAUUUUCAGUGUUUAUGGAAGAUGCAACUUAAUUUAAAAGGUCUGAAUGCCUCUUUUCUUUCCCUGUCGUUCAUGAGAACAAUCAAACAGAUCCUCACAGAUUUCAAGAACCAGAACCCAGCGUGAACACCAGAAUGAUAAGGGGAAACAUUCAGAUGCUUUCAAUGGCAAAAGAAAAUUCAUAAACUGCUUAUAAUGAAGAAGUGAUUGUUGAAAAUUGAGUUUUCUGUUCUUGUACUUUACUGGCAUUCAGCUCUUCAAAGCGAUAGCAAAUAUUCUAUUGGUUAACAUUUAACCCAAACUAAUAGGUCCAAUCUCACAUUCUCAAAUAAAUCAUAAUGUCUUUUCAAUUAGUUUGCACUUUCACUGGCUGCUGUCCUGAAUAAUUAGGAAAACAAUUCACAUUUCACUAGGAGAUGAUAUGAAGUGUUAUUCCUGUGAUAAUUAGCGAGCUGCAGUUCAGCUUCCCUGGCUCCCACCAGGUCAUCAGGGCACAAAAGAGGACACCAUGAGAGCAUUAAUGAGCUCUCAUUGAAGAUGUUAAAAAGCUUGUAUUGAUCUGUUUGUCCAAGAAGGAGAUAUUUAAGCCUUUCUGCUGAGGGCAGGAGAGACAGAGAUUCAUAUCACAAAGCCUUUUAUCCAACCCCUUCUGUUUCUGGCUUCAAUAUUGCCCAGUCUCAGCAUGUCUGGUUCUAGAGGUCAUACUUUUAAACUUUCACAACAUUUUUUUUCUUUUCCCCUUUCUUCUUUUUGUUUAAAAAAAAAAAAAAAAAAAAAAAAAGGAAAGAAAGAAAAAAGGGUAAUAUACAGUGUACACUUAACCUUUACUACAGGGAUCCCUUUACACAGCUCGCUGUUUCUGAGAACAGGCUUCAGUGCAGUAAGAUUUCCGUUCUCACUCUAUCCCGCUCACAUUCAUCUCAAUUAAAUUCAGAGAGUCUAGACAAUACAAGGACCAACUCAGUGCAAAUUUUUGCUCAUAGUUUGGAAGAACAUCCAACAAAAUCACUUUUUUUGGAUGUUCAAUCAGACUUUUCUCUCUAUUGUCACCGCCUUUUUUGUGAACUCCUGGACUUACUAUUUCUAGCUGGAAGUAGAAGUGAAAGAAGUAAGUGUAAGGCUGCAAAAUCACCAUUUCUUGUGGUAUUUUCACAUGAGGGUUCUCACUGCAGGAAAGGGAGGCAAAUCCUGUCCUGCCUUCAACACUCUGCAUUGUUAUGAUAUAUUGCAGCUGUAAACUUGUUCUGGGUACACUUACCUACUCACCAAUUUUGUCUACUCUCUUUUAAGUGCCACAAUGAGCUGUCAGUGAGGAUUCCCAGCCUGCCUGUGAUAGAGUUUGGGAUGAAUUUUCAUAUAACUGUAAAAGCUGUGGGUUUUUUGUUUUGUUUUGUUUUUGUUGUUGCUUUUUAAUUAUUAUCAUCCUUCUUACUUGAACUAGCUAUGGUCUCACUCAGCAAGAUCGUAUCUCUCUUUUCAUAGUAUCUCAUUCACAUUCAACUCUGUAGGAGCAAUUCAGCGGGUCCAUUUGUGUGUAUCCAUUGUAAAUGGCCAAUGAAGUAAUACUCUGGGACCUCUAGAUGAAUGCAGAAUCCUCAGUACACUUCUUUGUUUUUUCAUGGUCUGCCUCACCUGACACAGCAGGCUGGUGGAUGAACCUCACAACCAACAUUGGGAAUUCUGCAGCCUGCUUCUACUUACCUUGUAUCAACUCAAGAUAAUCAGUUUCAGAUGAAAAUAAACAUGAAUGAAUGCACACACAAAUUAUUCUUGCUGUGAUGUGAUGCAGUAAUCUCCAGUUUGGGAACUGAGCUGGCAAAAGAGGUCAUAUGCAUCCUUCCACUUGUGACCAUUUAAAAAAGAUGUGAGGGAACGAUUCAUGAACAAGUAAAAUUGGACAUGGGUAGCAAAUAGUGACCCUCGGUGAGUGACAACUGAGGUUAUGUGGAUGAAUACUAAACAUGAAAAGCCUGAAUUAUUCAUGGGAGGUUCAAGGUAAAAGGGU